rnacentral:rRNA from 1 species
GGCUCAGAUUGAACGCUGGCGGCAGGCCUAACACAUGCAAGUCGAGCGGUAGCACAGAGAGCUUGCUCUCGGGUGACGAGCGGCGGACGGGUGAGUAAUGUCUGGGAAACUGCCUGAUGGAGGGGGAUAACUACUGGAAACGGUAGCUAAUACCGCAUAACGUCGCAAGACCAAAGUGGGGGACCUUCGGGCCUCAUGCCAUCAGAUGUGCCCAGAUGGGAUUAGCUAGUAGGUGGGGUAAUGGCUCACCUAGGCGACGAUCCCUAGCUGGUCUGAGAGGAUGACCAGCCACACUGGAACUGAGACACGGUCCAGACUCCUACGGGAGGCAGCAGUGGGGAAUAUUGCACAAUGGGCGCAAGCCUGAUGCAGCCAUGCCGCGUGUAUGAAGAAGGCCUUCGGGUUGUAAAGUACUUUCAGCGAGGAGGAAGGCGUUAAGGUUAAUAACCUUGGUGAUUGACGUUACUCGCAGAAGAAGCACCGGCUAACUCCGUGCCAGCAGCCGCGGUAAUACGGAGGGUGCAAGCGUUAAUCGGAAUUACUGGGCGUAAAGCGCACGCAGGCGGUCUGUCAAGUCGGAUGUGAAAUCCCCGGGCUCAACCUGGGAACUGCAUUCGAAACUGGCAGGCUAGAGUCUUGUAGAGGGGGGUAGAAUUCCAGGUGUAGCGGUGAAAUGCGUAGAGAUCUGGAGGAAUACCGGUGGCGAAGGCGGCCCCCUGGACAAAGACUGACGCUCAGGUGCGAAAGCGUGGGGAGCAAACAGGAUUAGAUACCCUGGUAGUCCACGCCGUAAACGAUGUCGACUUGGAGGUUGUGCCCUUGAGGCGUGGCUUCCGGAGCUAACGCGUUAAGUCGACCGCCUGGGGAGUACGGCCGCAAGGUUAAAACUCAAAUGAAUUGACGGGGGCCCGCACAAGCGGUGGAGCAUGUGGUUUAAUUCGAUGCAACGCGAAGAACCUUACCUACUCUUGACAUCCAGAGAACUUAGCAGAGAUGCUUUGGUGCCUUCGGGAACUCUGAGACAGGUGCUGCAUGGCUGUCGUCAGCUCGUGUUGUGAAAUGUUGGGUUAAGUCCCGCAACGAGCGCAACCCUUAUCCUUUGUUGCCAGCGGUCCGGCCGGGAACUCAAAGGAGACUGCCAGUGAUAAACUGGAGGAAGGUGGGGAUGACGUCAAGUCAUCAUGGCCCUUACGAGUAGGGCUACACACGUGCUACAAUGGCAUAUACAAAGAGAAGCGACCUCGCGAGAGCAAGCGGACCUCAUAAAGUAUGUCGUAGUCCGGAUUGGAGUCUGCAACUCGACUCCAUGAAGUCGGAAUCGCUAGUAAUCGUAGAUCAGAAUGCUACGGUGAAUACGUUCCCGGGCCUUGUACACACCGCCCGUCACACCAUGGGAGUGGGUUGCA